rnacentral:rRNA from 1 species
UGCGUAGGCGGUUUAAUAAGUCAGAGGUGAAAGCUCACAGCUUAACUGUGGAAUUGCCUUUGAUACUGUUAAACUUGAAUCAGGUUGAGGUUGGCGGAAUGUGACAUGUAGCGGUGAAAUGCAUAGAUAUGUCAUAGAACACCAAUUGCGAAGGCAGCUAGCUGGACCUGCAUUGACGCUGAGGCACGAAAGCGUGGGGAGCGAACAGGAUUAGAUACCCUGGUAGUCC